rnacentral:rRNA from 1 species
UACGUAGGGACCGAGCGUUGUCCGGAAUCAUUGGGCGUAAAGAGCGUGUAGGCGGCCACUUAAGUCCUGCGUGAAAUCUUGCGGCUCAACCGCAAGCGGUCGUGGGAAACUGGGUGGCUAGAGUGCGGGAGAGGAGAGUGGAAUUCCUGGUGUAGCGGUGGAAUGCGCAGAUAUCAGGAAGAACACCCGUGGCGAAGGCGGCUCUCUGGAACGCAACUGACGCUGAGACACGAAAGCCAGGGGAGCGAACGGG